CACGUAGGGGGCGAGCGUUGUCCGGAUUUAUUGGGCGUAAAGAGCUCGUAGGCGGCUCGGUAAGUCGGGUGUGAAAUUUCGAGGCUCAACCUCGAAACGCCACCCGAUACUGCUGUGGCUAGAGUCCGGUAGGGGAGCGCGGAAUUCCUGGUGUAGCGGUGAAAUGCGCAGAUAUCAGGAGGAACACCAGCGGCGAAGGCGGCGCUCUGGGCCGGUACUGACGCUGAGGAGCGAAAGCGUGGGUAGCAAACAGG
rnacentral:rRNA from 1 species